UACGUAGGGGGCAAGCGUUGUCCGAAUUUAUUGGGCGUAAAGAGCUCGUAGGUGGUUCGGUAAGUCGGAUGUGAAAUCUCCAGGCUCAACCUGGAGGGGUCAUUCGAUACUGCCGUGACUAGAGGUCGGUAGGGGAGUGUGGAAUUCCUGGUGGAGCGGUGAAAUGCGCAGAUAUCAGGAGGAACACCCGUAGCGAAGGCGGCACUCUGGGCCGAUACUGACACUGAGGAGCGAAAGCGUGGGGAGCGAACAGG
rnacentral:rRNA from 1 species